GGAAUCUUGCGCAAUGGGCGAAAGCCUGACGCAGCGACGCCGCGUGAGGGAUGAAGGCCUUCGGGUCGUAAACCUCUGUCAGGGGGGAAGAACCCGCGGUCGGUGAAUAGCCGGCCGCGCUGACGGUACCCCCAGAGGAAGCACCGGCUAACUCCUUGCCAGCAGCCGCGGUAAGACGGAGGGUGCAAACGUUGUUCGGAAACACGGGGCGUAAAGGGCGCGUAGGCGGAUCUGUAAGUCGGGAGUGAAAACUCGGGGCUCAACCCCGAGCCUGCUUCCGAAACUGCAAGUCUUGAGGACUGGAGAGGAAAGUGGAAUUCCCGGUGCAGCGGUGGAAUGCGUAGAUAUCGGGAGGAACAUCGGUGGCGAAGGCGACUUUCUGGACAGUUCCUGACGCUGAGGCGCGAAAGCUAGGGGAGCAAAC
rnacentral:rRNA from 1 species